AAUAUUGCGCAAUGGGGGAAACCCUGACGCAGCGACGCCGCGUGAACGAUGAAGGCCUUCGGGUCGUAAAGUUCUGUCCUCAGGGAAGAAUAAAUGACGGUACCUGAGGAGGCCGCCCCGGCUAACUACGUGCCAGCAGCCGCGGUAAUACGUAGGGGGCAAGCGUUGUCCGGAAUUAUUGGGCGUACAGGCUGCGCAGGCGGCCUUUUAAGUCAGAUGUGAAAGACCACAGCUUAACUGUGGGAUUGCAUUGGAAACUGGUGAGCUUGAGUGUCGGAGAGGACAGUGGAAUUCCUAGUGUAGCGGUGAAAUGCGUAGAUAUUAGGAGGAACACCAGUGGCGAAGGCGACUGUCUGGACGACAACUGACGCUGAGGCACGAAAGCUAGGGGAGCGAAC
rnacentral:rRNA from 1 species